rnacentral:tRNA from 1 species
CCAGGGGUGGCUGGGUGGUUAAGGUGUUGGUUUUAAAACCCAAGGGACAUGUCACCUUGUGGGUUUAAACCCCACUCCUGGU